AGUCGUUCUAGUAUAGUGGUAAGUAUUCCCGCCUGUCACGCGGGUGACCCGGGUUCGAUCUCCGGCAACGGCGU
rnacentral:tRNA from 1 species